ensembl:misc_RNA 7SK 7SK RNA
GGAUGUGAGGGUGAUCUGGCUGUGACAUCUGCCACUCCAGUGAUUGCCAGGAUUGAGUCGGCAGAUGUGGCUGUCUAGGUGGGUGUCCCUUCCUCCCUCAUUGCUCCACAUACAUCCCUCCUGAAUCUGCACAGUGGGUGGAAGAGGAUGACUUUCCCUGAUAAGGGAAGACCAUUUGGUCAAGGGUGUUGUGUAGCUGCACUCUGGAGCUAAAACCUCCAAACAAACUUUCAAGAACAGACAACUUAUAGCCAGAAGGGCAGAUGCUGUAUCACCCCCAGCACUUCCAGGCAGACAUUACUAAUAGAUCACCAAAUUCUCUCAUUU